GUAAUAAGAUUUUAUUUGAAUGCUAAGAGAAUGGAAAUUUAAAAAAAAACUUUUUUCAAAAUAAAAAUCGAAUUUUUUUUAAUUCCGUGCAAAAACAAUUAUAUUUAUUAAAGACAAGAAGACCCUAAGAAUUUAAGAUUUUACAAUUAAAAAGUUUUUUUUUAAAAUCUUGAUUGGGGCGAUCAAAAAAUAUUAAUAACUUUUUAAAAUUUAAAUUCGAUCUAUUAUUAAUAAACUAAUGAAUUAAAUACUCUAGGGAUAACAGCGUAAUAAUUUUUGAUAGAUCUUAUUGACAAAAUAGUUUGCGACCUCGAUGUUGGAUUAGGAUUCUUUUUUAAUGAAGAAGUUAAAAAAAGAAGUUUGUUCAACUUUUAAAUUCCUACUUGAUC
rnacentral:rRNA from 1 species